rnacentral:tRNA from 1 species
GGUGCAGCUCAGUGGUAGAGCACUUGCCUGGCAUGCACGAGGCCCUGGGUUUCAUCCCCAGCACCA